UACGUAGGUGGCGAGCGUUGUCCGGAUUUACUGGGCGUAAAGAGCGUGUAGGCGGUUUGGUAGGUCCGCUGUGAAAACUCGAGGCUCAACCUCGAGACGCCGGUGGAAACCAUCAGGCUAGAGUCCGGAAGAGGAGAGUGGAAUUCCUGGUGUAGCGGUGAAAUGCGCAGAUAUCAGGAAGAACACCCGUGGCUAAGGCGGCUCUCUAGUACGUGACUGACGCUGAGACGCGAAAGCGUGGGGAGCGAACAGG
rnacentral:rRNA from 1 species